GCUAGAUGAGGACUUUGACAUUGUAAAACCGAAUGCAUUAUCUCUGGCGUCAGUUGUAUCAUGAAUCAACCACUUUAUUUCGGCAUCAAACACGUAUAGAGUGUAUAAAUAGGGCUGUCUUCACUAAGGCUGCCACCACCACCCUUGAAAGUAGUUUAUCCCAAAAGAAACGUGCACGCUGGUGGGAAAGACUUGCUGCAAUUCUACGGAACUUGGGACAGCACCUUGGAUUUCGCCGGAACCUUCACUCCUGAUCUACAAUGAGACUGUGCACGUUUGUCGACCUUAGUUUCCUGAAUUUAAUUAUACUGACCAUAGCUUUGAUGGUUGCUGAAGAAACGCAGCAGUCCCAAAAUUCAGAUAUUCCUGAGCAGUGCCAGCCGCCCGAAGACGACUUGAAAGAGCAACCAUGCCGUCAACCCCUCAGAGUAGGAGUAUAUUGUGGGAGUACCACAAGGAGCAAUCAGCAGUGCCAGAAGAGGUGGCAUUACAACACGUAUCGGAAAGAUUGUUAUUCGUUUUGGUAUACAGGAUGUGGAGGAAACCAGAACAACUUUGAUUCCCAAUUUAACUGCAGAAACAGUUGCUGGG